UUGAUGGCGACCGGCGUACGGGUGAGUAACGCGUAUCCAACCUGCCCUUUACUAUGGGACAGCCCGUCGAAAGGCGGAUUAAUACCGUAUGUUGUCAUGUUGAUGCAUAUUUUCAUGACCAAAGGCUUCGGCCGGUAAAGGAUGGGGAUGCGUCUGAUUAGCUUGCCGGCGGGGUAACGGCCCACCGGGGCGACGAUCAGUAGGGGUUCUGAGAGGAAGGUCCCCCACAUUGGAACUGAGACACGGUCCAAACUCCUACGGAAGGCAGCAG
rnacentral:rRNA from 1 species